rnacentral:rRNA from 1 species
UACAGAGGUCCCAAGCGUUGUUCGGAUUCACUGGGCGUAAAGGGCGCGUAGGCGGCCUGUUAAGUCGAACGUGAAAUCCCCGGGCUCAACCCGGGAACUGCGUCCGAUACUGGCAGGCUUGAAUCCGGGAGAGGGAUGUGGAAUUCCAGGUGUAGCGGUGAAAUGCGUAGAUAUCUGGAGGAAUACCGGUGGCGAAGGCGGCAUCCUGGACCGGCAUUGACGCUGAGGAGCGAAAGCCAGGGGAGCAAACGGG